rnacentral:rRNA from 1 species
UUUAUCGGAGAGUUUGAUCCUGGCUCAGGACGAACGCUGGCGGCGUGCCUAAUACAUGCAAGUCGAGCGGACAGAUGGGAGCUUGCUCCCUGAUGUYAGCGGCGGACGGGUGAGUAACACGUGGGUAACCUGCCUGUAAGACUGGGAUAACUCCGGGAAACCGGGGCUAAUACCGGAUGCUURAUUGAACCGCAUGGUUCAAUUAUAAAAGGUGGCUUUUAGCUAYCACUUACAGAUGGACCCGCGGCGCAUUA